UACGGGAGGCAGCAGUGGGGAAUAUUGCACAAUGGGCGCAAGCCUGAUGCAGCCAUGCCGCGUGUAUGAAAAAGGCCUUCGGGUUGUAAAGUACUUUCAGUCGUGAGGAAGGUGUUAAGGUUAAUAACCUUAGCAAUUGACGUUAGCGACAGAAGAAGCACCGGCUAACUCCGUGCCAGCAGCCGCGGUAAUACGGAGGGUGCGAGCGUUAAUCGGAAUUACUGGGCUAAAGGGCACGCAGGCGGUUAAUUAAGUUGGAUGUGAAAUCCCCGGGCUUAACCUGGGAAUGGCAUUCAAGCUGGUUAGCUAGAGUCUUGUAGAGGGGGUUAGAAUUCCAUGUGUAGCGGUGAAAUGCGUAGAGAUGUGGAGGAAUACCGGUGGCGAAGGCGGCCCCUGGACAAAGACUGACGCUCAUGUGCGAAAGCGUGGGGAGCAAACGAGGGAUUAGAUACCCGU
rnacentral:rRNA from 1 species